CACCCAUCUUCGUUUCCUCAUUUUUUUUUUGAUUUAUACACUUGCAGUUUGUGAACAUUUAAACUUUCUCAAAAAUAUAUUGCCGGAAAUUGGUAAACAGUUCAUCGAAAAAACCGUCAGAAAUGUUUUAGUUUAACAAGUUUUCUACAUAGAUAUAUUCCGACUAAUAUCCAACAAAUAUUUUUAUGAAGUGGUAAUCAACAAGGGACGAUGAUAAGGAGAGGGAUCCAUCCCGUUUGUCCAAGAA